AAUUCAAGUUAUUUACAAAAUAAAAGUAAUACAUUAACAAAUACCUAACCAUGGCCUACAAAAUCAAUACAACUUUAUUAUUAACUAUUUUAGUUUUAAUCGGUUUGAGCACUGUUAGCCUAAACAACUGGGUAGACGCUGCUGCUGCCGGUGCUGUUGAACACAACAACAACCCCAACAAUGCUAAUGUUGCCAAACGGUCGAUACCAAACAACCUACUGGAGCCGGAAUCGAUGUCAGCAUUGGGUGAUUGGCUGAAACAACAGAUAUCCACAAUAAUAGGAUUACCAACUAUUAUAUUAAUUUUUUUCACAUUGUUUGUACCGUUUUUAGGCUUACUAACCUUACCAAUAGCAAUAUUAUUUGUAC